GUCAGUGGUCUUUAAGGGCUGCAUUACAAUGAAUGCUUUACUGAUUCUUUUGAAUAGGUUUUAGCUCAUUCUUUUUAAAAACAUUCUUUUAAAAACCUCCACUCAUUGAAGUAUUUACUGUAAUAUUAUCUUUCCUUUUCUUUUAUCUGUCAGGUAAGUACCUGUAUGUCCCUGAGAAUGGAGACUGUCUCCGUAGGGUUGUGACCGAUGAAGAGGAGAAGACUGCCAUUCUCAAUGAAGUUCACGCAGGACACUUUGGGAUCAAGAGGAUGAUGGGGAAAAUGAAUCAGCGAUUUUACUGGAAAGGGAUUGUAAAGGACGUGGAGCAAUGGAUCCAGAAUUGUGAAGCAUGCCAGAGAUUUGAGAGGGUGAAGACUGUUGCCCCAGAACUGAAUCCAAUCGAAGUUGUUCCUCCAUGGUGUUGAUCUUAUUGGACCAUUCCAGCCAUCGAAGGGAGGAAACCACUACUGCUUGAUGGCUACUGAUUUCUUUACAAAGUGGACUGAGGCCAUCCCCAUUAAAGACAAGUCAGCUGCUUGCACUGCAUCGGCUCUUGCAAGCCUGUUCUACCGUCACGGAGCACCAGAGAUUGUCUUGACAGACCAGGGUGGGGAAUUUUGGAACAAGGUGAGAUGAAAAUAUCAAAGUCUAUAGGUAAAAACUGGUUAUGAUGAAUAUGUCAAGUGCUGGUAAGUGUACAAUUAUAGUUUUCUUUUUUUAAAUACAUAUUUUCUUCCAUAAAAAAUAAACUUGAUUUUAAGUAAUUUUCUGCCUUUUGUAAAUUAGUUAAUUAAUUACAGCUCCUUGUUUACUAAUAUUUGCAAUUUGAAAUUAUUAUUUAUUUUCAGUGUUUUGUACAUUUCUUGAUUUCUGACUAUUUCUACCAUUAUCAGGUUAACCAGACUCUUUUCCAGAAUUGGGACAUCCGGCAUUGAAUUAGCUCUGCAUACCAUCCCCAGACAAAUGGUCUUGAUGAAAGGACCAACGACACCAUCAAGAGAGCUAUUGGGAAAACUCUGGCCGGAAAGCAAGAGAGGUGGGAGGACAGCCUAAAGGCUAUUGUGUUUGCCCACAACACCAGCAUUCAGGCUUCAACAAUACAGACCCCAUUCUUCCUGAUGUACAGCAGACUCUUUGGGAAUUAAUAAUAACCAUGAUUUCCGUUCCCAGGUCGUAUCACUGCUGCAGUACAGUGGAAAGAGAGUUCAUAUCGUGUGGCCACAUGCACAGUAGCAGGGAUGUAGUGACUGUGGACUGUUUACCAUCGCAAACAGCCUCACACUCUGCAUGGGUGGAGAUCCAGGUAAGUUAUGUUAUGAUCAAAAGCAAAUGCGUGAUCAUCUUUUUUCUUGUUUUGUAGAUGGAUCUCUUAUUCCUUUCCCGAGCUGUGAGAGAACCCCCCUCCCAGAGGUAAAUUUCUGUGAAAUGCAGGAGACCAUACAGGAUUGCACUGGAGCUGAUGGUGGAAUGCGGGAGGUGUGGCGAAUGGUUCCAUGGCCAGUGUGAAGAUCUACAGCCAGAUGACCUUAUAAGUAUGGAGGAGUAUAUGUGCUCCAUUUGCAGAGUUACACACAUGGGUAAGUAUGGUAAGUAAAGGUGUAACAGAUUUAUUAUUUUGUUUUUUACUGUAUGUUUUUUUGUACAUUUUAUACUAAGCAUUCUAGCUUAGUAUAUUAUACAAACACUAAAAUUUGGUAAUGCCCGUUAAGCAACAUUACCAUCAUUUACAGCUAUUUACAUAUGUACAGUAGGGAAUUGUUAAUAAGGCUCAUUGUCUUCAGUGUUUAUUUUUCAUGAGUGCACAAACUACUUAUUUUGAAGAUUUUUUUUUUUUUUCAGCAGACCCUGAUUCUGUAUUGAGACCUUUUUAUUUGGAGAAAUAUUGUAGAUGCUUUUGCACUCAUUUAAUAGGUAUGGUAGUCUUAGUUUCUGAGCUACUGAAUUAUUGCCUGACUUGAGUAUUUCCGGGACAGAGAUAUCCAAAGUAAACUGGAUGUCAGUUAUAAACACCCACCUUGUUUAAUGUAGUUAUUGUGAACCAGCUGGGGAGGUGCUGAUUCACUGUAUUUAAGUGAAAUUGUGCCAAAUAAGGUGGGUGUAACAUGAUAUAAAAGUACAGUAGAUGUAAUUCUGAAAUAAUAAACAACUUCACAUUUUACAUGGACAUGUUUCAGACAUUAAUGCUUCAAUUUCAAAUUCGAUUUCCAUUCCUAUUAACUGAUAUUAGACAAUUACAUACUAUACAAGUUAAGAGUAUGAAAUGUGCAUAUGAUUUACUGUGAUUUACUAUGAUUUAACAUAUGUCACUGUAAAUUGGUAAUGUCAUUUUUAGACAGGCAGCCUCUUUAAAGUCCUUUUUUUGUGGGUUAUGUGAGAAGUCAUUUGAAAGUUCUGUUAAACCUACUACUAACACCCCACUCCAUAGGUCAGGGCCUUGACAUGGUGAGUGGGCUUUUUACCAAAGCUGUCCAACAGUAUAGUGGGUUUUUUUGGGGGUUUUUUUGUUUUUUUUACUACUACUUACACAUUAAG